ensembl:ncRNA K10D6.15 ncRNA
AUGGGUUCACUGUUUCUUAUCUAUUUACAGCUGGGUCGUAAAUAAUACAAUUCACCCAUUAUCGCUCUUUUGAGAGUAAAAACGGUAAAAUGACGAUUAGUUCGGUCUUAAAGGUAAUAAAAAUUUCCCGAAAUAUUUUC